GGAAUUUUGGACAAUGGGCGAAAGCCUGAUCCAGCCAUGCCGCGUGAGUGAAGAAGGCCUUCGGGUUGUAAAGCUCUUUCGGCGGGGAAGAAAAGGUACGUGCUAAUACCACGGACUAAUGACGGUACCCGAAGAAGAAGCACCGGCUAACUACGUGCCAGCAGCCGCGGUAAUACGUAGGGUGCAGGCGUUAAUCGGAAUUACUGGGCGUAAAGCGUGCGCAGGCGGUUUGUUAAGACAGAUGUGAAAUCCCCGGGCUUAACCUGGGAACUGCGUUUGUUACUGGCAAGCUGGAGUGUGGCAGAGGGGGGUGGAAUUCCAAGUGUAGCAGUGAAAUGCGUAGAUAUUUGGAGGAACACCGAUGGCGAAGGCAGCCCCCUGGGCUAACACUGACGCUCAUGCACGAAAGCGUGGGGAGCAAACAGGAUUAGAUACCCUGGUAGUCCACGCCCUAAACUAUGUCAACUGGUUGUCGGGGAAGCAAUUCCUUGGUAACGAAGCUAACGCGUGAAGUUGACCGCCUGGGGAGUACGGCCGCAAGGUUAAAACUCAAAGGAAUUGACGG
rnacentral:rRNA from 1 species